AUUGAACGCUGGCGGCAUGCUUUACACAUGCAAGUCGAACGGUAACAGGGUGCUUGCACCGCUGACGAGUGGCGAACGGGUGAGUAAUGCGUCGGAACGUGCCGAGUAGUGGGGGAUAACGCAUCGAAAGGUGUGCUAAUACCGCAUACGUACUGAGGUAGAAAGUGGGGGACCUUCGGGCCUCACGCUAUUCGAGCGGCCGACGUCUGAUUAGCUAGUUGGUGAGGUAAAGGCUCACCAAGGCGACGAUCAGUAGCGGGUCUGAGAGGAUGAUCCGCCACACUGGGACUGAGCCAGGGACCAGACUCCUACGGGAGGCAGCAGUGGGGAAGUUUGGACAAUGGGCGCAAGCCUGAUCCAGACAUGCCGCGUGUCUGAAGAAGGCCUUCGGGUUGUAAAGGACGUUUGUCCGGGAGCAAAUACCCAGUGCUAAUAACGCUGGGGGCUGAGAGUACCGGAAGAAUAAGCACCGGCUAACUACGUGCCAGCCGCCGCGGUAACAC
rnacentral:rRNA from 1 species